UAAUGUCAUGUUGCAGAGGACGAGGCUGAACAUUCAGAAUCAUUCAUCUGUAAUUAUUUUUAGGUUCUAAAGCUACCUGUCUUCAACAAAAUGUGUUUUGUAUCAUUAUUGCAGGCAAUUCCAUUUCUAAAACAAACUAACUAACUUGUCUUUCUGAGAAAAAUAUUUAUCUUCGACCUUUUGUUUUAAGUUUUUAACAGCACAAUGUUUAACUACAAAAACCCUGCAUUUGUGGUUGAGAGUUUUAGAAUCUCUAAAAUGUAGAAGGGUUUUCAUAUUUCAUUUAUGUUUGGGUGAGUCACGUUUAAUAAUAUGCCAGAGCAGUGACGGUAAACUGAUAAGCGCAGUAAAGGAAAGGAUGGAUGGAAGGAAGGAACGAAGGAGAGAAGAAAAAGCGAGUUCACACUACUCGGACUGAUCAGUUUACCUUUAAUGCUCUAACUGGGAUGUCAGCGCCUGUUCAGAAUCCAGCAAAGCACCUGCUGUGGCACGAAAAACUCCUCUUCAUCCACCCACGAUGGUGUUGGUUAAUGAAGCGCUGAAGGAGUUGGACUCUCGAAUCGUCUCAUCUCAGGCCAUCCGUGGCGACAUAACAGAGAAAUAUCCAUCUGUGGACCUGAUGAGGUUGAAGUACAUGACACGCAAGAUCCUGAAAAUAGGAAUCGAGAGCUGGGUAUUGGUGAGGACAUCAACUCGAUAGCAAACGGCGGACAGGGGAGGUUUCGGCUGGCAGUCAGGUGUAGGGUCAAGGAGCCAAAGGCCACUGAGAACACUGAUCCCAAUGUGGAGAAGGCUCCAAAGGCUGCCAAGGUUGGAGCCAAGAAGACUAAGGACAAGGAAGCCGGAUGAAAACUCAGGAAGUCCGCAAAAGCAUCUGCUUCCAAGGUGGCCCCUGCUAAGAAGCCCAAGUCAAAGAGGACAAAGGGGCAGAGAGGACAGCUGAGGAUCAACCCAAAGCACAGAAGACUACCAAGGGUGAAGGGGCAGCCAAGAAGGGUGCAAAGGCCAAAGCUUUCCAGAAGCCUGCAGAGGGUGAUGAAGGGGACACUGCUGCUCCUGAAGCUAUAACCACAGGGAAAUGAGGCAAGAGGGCAGCAGCAGAGUGACUGCACUCCUUUUAUCCACAUUGUAUGUUUUUAAAUAAAGCAGUUUUUUGUACUACUUGUUUGUGGCAUUUAAGUGUAGACCGAGCUGCUGUAAAAUGUCAUCUCCACUUUUCCUGUAGAGAAGUGUUGGUGGUAGCUAGGGGUUUGUAAAGAUGUUUAAUGAUUCACUGAUGCAAGUUUAAAUAAUAUAUAUAUAUAUACACAGUAUGCUAAGUUCUUGUUUCUUGCACCUGCUUAAUCAGUACCCUCUUCUGCCAGAUGAAUUGUAUCACUAGUACAGUGACUACCCGGUUCCUGGAAAAUAUUGAUGGUUGAUGGUUGUUUUCUACACGGUCAGGACUUUAUUGUUCAUCCAUCAUAGGUUGAUGACCAUGGCACGAUUCGUUGGGGAAAUCUGGUACAGUGAGUGUGCAGAUGGUUGAGAUCCAUCUGAGCCUGGAACACACUGGACAUGAUAUCUUGGUACCAGUCUCCUGAGGGACGACCCUGAUACUGGUCUUUCACUGUUCUCUCCACCAAGGAAUUUUUGAUGCUGCUGGUUUGUGGUAGCAGUCUUUCUAUACAGUUAGAACUAACCAUCUCAAAACAAACAUUUCCCAUAACUAUGAAGCUAUGGGAAGUUAUUCAAAACUUUUCUGUUAUGGGUCAGUGCCCACAAUUGUGCAAUGCAACAUGUUGUACCACUUCAGUUUGUCCACAAGGGGUGCAAUAACUAAUUGGGUCUUCAGUUUGGUAUUCAAAGGUACCCAACCCAGAGCAUUGCUGUCCGCUGGUGCUCCUUGUUCUUUAUUCCCUGGAAGUUUAACCAGCUUUUACUCAACCACCCCUAAGGAGAAGAAUAAAUCAUUAAUGCUGUGGACCUCAAGGCCUGGAUUUGAAAAAGGAUACACAGGAAGAGAGCAUAGGCAACGCCAGUGAAGCUGUCACAUAUCUUUUAUUUUUUUAUUUAACCUUUAUUUAACCAGGUAAGGUAGUUGAG